AGGCGGGAGCGCGUACGUCGGCAGCGCGGAAGUUAGGGUCUCGAGGAGGCUGCCACCGGCUGAUCCUUCCUCCGGCGGCCGCCCUCCGUGGCCAGUUGUCGGACUCCGGGAAGUAGGCGCUGAGGGCUCGCCCCCUGCGUGUGUGAGCGCUUCUGUCUCUCUGGCGGCUACGCACGGCUGUCGCUCUGGAGAGACUGAGGAGGAAACGGGGGUGGGAGGGGAUUGCGACUGCAGUGGGACGCGGGAGCGGCGGAAGCACCGCGCUGGAGCGGUCCGGUGGCGUCGCCGGGCUUCCUUGCCCUCCCUCCGCCCGGCCGGGCUGGCUCGGAUCCCCGGGUCGAGCGCGCUGCUGCGUCACACCAGGCAGCCAGGCCGCCACUGUUGAGCAUCUCCGGCCGCCUCCCACGCCCGGGCGAGUGCACGGCCCGAGCUCCCGAGCCGAAGCGAAAGAAUGCGAGCUCAGGUUGUUGACGUCCUGUGACGCUGCUGGAUUGCAUUUGUGGGUGACCGUUGCCUGGUUCAGAAAAGAACUUUCACCAUCUUUGCUUUCUAGGUCCCUCCCUGGAGGGCGGAUUAAAGGAUGCCGCGACGAAUCGCAAAAGAACAAAAGCUCUCCAGGGACGCUGGACACACCAGCUGCUGUCACUGAUGUGCUGAAACUGUCAACUCCAAGAGAAGGAGCAAAAGAAUGAUAAACAGUACAGUGUAUCUGGGCAUGAUGGCACAAGCCUGUAAUCCCAGCACUCUGGGAGGCUGAGGCAAGAGGAUCUAAGUUCAAGACCAGCCUCAGUGAGACCCUCUCUCAAAAUAAAAAAUACAAGAAAGGGCUGUGCAUGUAGCUCUACAGUAGUACAGAAAAUAAAUAAAUAUAAAUGUAUAAGUAUACAACAGCAGAUACAUAAACCAGUGACAUGGUCACUUGUUAUCACCAUCAAGCAUUAUGUACUGUAUCAUUGUAUGUGCUAGGCUUUCACAGGACAGGCAGCACUGUGAUUUUGUUUACGACAGCGUCAUUGUGCUACUGCUUUAUGGGGCCUCCCAUCUCACUGGGUGAUAGGGAGUUUUUGGCUCCAUUAAGAUCUGUGGGACCACUGCUGUAUUUGUAAUUCAUCAUUGCCCAAACUAUCACUGCGUGGGGCAUCACUGUAUAGAAGGCACACACAUGCACACACUCUCUUUGAACUGCCUGCAUUUUUCCUCUAAGCAGGACAUCUGUGUCAGAAUAUUCUCCCAAGUCACUACUGUGACAUUUUUAGUCAUUGUGUGGCCACAUUCUGCCAGGGAUUCAAAUACCAGGUCCUCAUUGACAAUGAGAUAGCUCUGAUCUAAUCCUCAAACUUUUAUCUAUCAUGGUUCAUAUGAGUUUGCAC
rnacentral:lncRNA from 1 species